AAAUCUCACAAGCCCUGGUUUACGCUCGCGGAAACCGGGGGGAAGUGGAUGUGGGUGCACUUGCAAGCCUGGCUUGCGAUGCAUCUAUAAAUGAUUGUGACGUGCGCCAAUUGUCGUGUCAACUGGUCGUCCGAAGCGCAACAGAUUCAUCUAUUCGUUUUGGUCAUCAGCUGGCUGACUUGGAGGCAUGGGACUCAACUUGUCAACCGGGGCCCUGCAGUUUGCAGAGCUCGCUGAUA
rnacentral:misc_RNA from 1 species